ensembl:lncRNA
AAUUGGUCACGCAUUAACAUCGCCAAGUUUGAGUAUUUUGCUAGACACCAUUAAGCAUUGUGUUAAACUGACUAACAUUUCUUAUGAAGUUUACUUCCACCACAAAUAGCAUCUAUGAACUGUAUGGCUUUUGCCACUGGCCGUUUUAAAAGCUUAGAAGUCAGUAAUACUAGUAUCUUACCACUUGGAAUAGUAAUAAGAAUUAAGCAAUUGCUAGCAAGUGUCAGGUUCCUGUGUGUUUGGGGAAACAUGAUAUUUGGUUGGAGUCUGGCUGUUUUUCUUCUGCUUGUGUGUGCUUGUUAGGUGCAGGUGGGCGUGGCUGUGCAGGGGUUGGUCCCUCGUUCGGCGCAGCUGCUGUUGAUCAGCUCAUCAACCUGUAUAAGAACUUCGUGAUCCAGCGCCAGAUUUUUCUUCGUCCUCUCGUGUUGGAUACCUUGGACUCUGCACUGCCUUCUCACCCGCCUACCACAGCCGAAGACCAAUACUUAAUGAAUCAUUCUCCCAGAACUGGGAUCGCCUUUUUUCAAGACUCAAUCAUUAAAUCCUUAUUUUUACUUCCGUCGUCUGAGCCUGUUUUUGAGUCCGCUAUUACAAACCAUAACAGCCCAAUCUGGCCACCAUGGACUCCGCAGGUUCAGACAUUCCUCGUCAAGCACUCAGCGCGUGUUAGUAGGAAGCCACGAACAGGUCAUCCAGGAAUUCCAGCACUCCCUCCAACUACUCACGCACAAUGUCGAUCAGCUAAACCUGAAGUUGGAUCAAAUAGCCAACCACCUGGUUGCCAGUGUUACACCAACGUCCGUCUCUGGUCCUGGUUCCCUCUGCAUCACCUGUUACCGUGACUCUGGUUCAAAACCAACCCCAUCUAUCCCGUGAGCCAUUCUUUCCUCUACCCGAGCGGUACUCCGGUGAUUUAGGUAACUGUGGGAGAUUUUUGUUUCAGUGCGGCCUGGUUUUUCAACAACAACCCACUACCUAUUUAACCGAUAGAUCACGUAUCAAUUUAAUUAUGGGGCUACUGACGGGUAGGGCAGCUAAGUGGGUUAUGGCGUUAAGUGAACGCAACUCGGGUGUCUGUAACAACUACGUGGAAUUCGUUGAGGAUAUGAGCAAAGUAUUUGAUCACCCAGUACGUGGCAGAGAGGUAGUAGACUGUUUUCCAUUACAAAAGGCAGUAAUUCGGUGGCAGAAUACUCUGUGGAUUUUCGUAUAUUAGUUACCGAGAGUGGGUGGCGACAACCAGCACUGCAGUCAGCUUGUAUUCGGGGUUUAUCUGAUGAGAUCAGAAGUCAGAUGGCACUCCAAGCAGAAACAAGGGAACUUGAUGACAUUAUCUCAUUAGCCGUUCGCAUUGACAACAGUUUGAGAGAACACAGACGAGACAAAGACCGCAAUAAAACUAGACCGUCGAGGGACUCACAACCUCGAUCUAGUCCAAAGCACUUCACUGUGAUAGAAGCGUACAUCAGUGUAGUCCCCCCGAUUUGACUCUUAUCCCUCCUGUCUAUCAUGAUUUAGGUGAGGUUUUCAAUAAGCAAAAAGCUCUCUCUCUGCCAUCCCACCGUCCUUAUGAUUGCGCUAUUGAACUGUUGCAUGGUGCCACAUUGCCAGCUAGUCGGUUGUUUAAACUAUCCAGGCCUGAGAGAGAAGAUAUGGAGAAUUACAUUUCAGAGUCUGUUGAGAUAAAUGAAGUUUAAAUAAUGCUGAUUUAAUAACCAUGUAUUCUUAUGUUUUUGUUUUAUUAAAUUGUAUGCUGCAG